GAGUUUGAUUCUGGCUCAGGAUGAACGCUGGCGGCGUGCCUAACACAUGCAAGUCGAACGAAGCAUAUAGAAGGAAGUUUUCGGAUGGAAUUUUAUAUGACUUAGUGGCGGACGGGUGAGUAACGCGUGGAUAAUCUGCCUUACACAGCGGGAUAACAAAUGGAAACAGUUGCUAAUACCGCAUAAGCACACAGUAUCGCAUGAUACAGGGUGAAAAGAUUUAUCGGUGUAAGAUGAGUCCGCGUCCCAUUAGCUAGUUGGUGAGGUAAAAGCUUACCAAGGCGACGAUGGGUAGCCGGCCUGAGAGGGUGAACGGCCACAUUGGGACUGAGACACGGCCCAGACUCCUACGGGAGGCAGCAGUGGGGGAUAUUGCACAAUGGGCGAAAGCCUGAUGCAGCGACGCCGCGUGAAGGAAGAAGUAUUUCGGUAUGUAAACUUCUAUCAGCAGGGAAGAAAAUGACGUACCUGACUAAGAGCCC
rnacentral:rRNA from 1 species